UUUUUCUCUAGCUUACUUUAUUGUAAAAACACAGUACAUAAUACAUAUAACAUACACAAUUUGUGUUGAUUGUUUCUAUUAUCAGUAAGGCUUCUGGUCAACAGUAGACUACUGGUUAAGUUUUUGGAGAGUCAAAAGUUAUACACAGAAUUUUCUACUGUGCAAGAGUUAGCACCUCAACCCUCACAUUAUUCAAGAGUCAACUGUAUAUUCACUAUUUGUAUAUAAAUCUCAGGAAAUAUCCUUUUAUAUGAAAGGUUCUUAUUAACAUCUUCCUGCAAUAUCAUUUUAAUGAGCUGGGGAAAUGAGCAGACUUGCUCUCCUAUAUUUGACUAUCCCAAGAAUUCUCAAGUGAUACAACUUAGCAAUAUUUGUGCGGCCUCUAAAAAAACUGGAAAAUCAGUUCUUAAAGAAUUAAACCAUUCCACUGAGCAGUUUUGCAAAUAUUCAGUUGCCUGUCUGCUGCAGAAAAGCAAUUAGGUUAGUAGAAGAGUACUGCAUGUACUUUUCUGCUUGUACUAGAUCCUGGAGGAUCUAGGACUGCUGUUUUUAAAAAACUUCACAAGCUAAUUUUUAUUUAUUUAUGACCUCUUAUUUCCAGUAUCAUGCAAAGUGUUUUUAUGAAGAUCAGUCUUCACUACCACAGAUUCAUUACUUUUUGGUCCAAAACAAUGGGAUAGAGGAAAAUAUUCUAAAUGUCCUGGACUUACUAAUGACUUAUGUUAUUAGUAAUGAUAGUAGGGUUUAUCUAAGUGUCACCCCCUUCAAAGCUGAAAAAUACACAGGAACAUCAUCAACGGUGCUUAGUACUUCUCAUGUGGCCCCAUGAUCAUCAUGUUUGAGAUACUUCUGCAAGAAGCUCCAAACAGUGAACUACUGAGAGAACACUUGUGGGAAUAUUUGCAGAGACAAACAAAUGUCAUCUUAAAAUACCAGCUACUGUAACUUACCCACAACAAGUAGGCUUCUUGGUCUGUAUUAACCCUGUAGGUACUAUUGUUGAAAUAGGCAUCUCCCCUACUCAGGAAUGUGGGCAAAUCUGAUCAUGCCUCUUUAAGGUUCUAAUUUGACAGAAGCACGUGAAUAAGCAAUCAUUUAGAAGAGUAUAUGCCUCCAAAUCAGAGCAAUACAAAUAAGAGCAGGGAAAGCUAUUUCACUUCACUGCUCAUUUCCCAAGUAUCCAAGUAAAACACUUCCUUAAAGUGUCACAUGCAUUAAAACACAAAGGAGAAAAACAGGCAGAGGUAAGCAAAGUUUAAAUCUGUAAAUCUGUUCUUUAAGACUCCAAUUAAUAAAAACUCAGGGAUUCUACUUGGAAUAUCCUACCCAUAACAUCAUAAUGUCAAUAAUCCAACAGUCAAGAGCCCCAGAAUCAGGGUCUAGAAUGCCAGAUGAAGAAUAGAGAGGAAUCCCCGUGAAUCCUGGGGUUUUGUAUAAUGGCAAACACUAAGAAGUAAGAUAGAAAGAGUGAAAUCCUAUUGACACUGUUGAGUCUGGACACCAUCCUAAAAAUGUCCUGUUUCACUAAUUGGAAGGGCAUCCAAGUAAGGAGAAGCUUGAUGCCAUAUGACAACAUCAGGUACUCAGCUCAUUUCUCUCUCUCUUUCUCUCUCUUUUCCUUUACGUCACCAAGGACAAACUCAGGAUGUUGACAGGACAGACUUUUGUAGGCAAACGGUUUGGCCAAUCUCUCACCAGUAUAUUAACCACAUGGGCAAAGAAAAUAUUUUUUCAAAAUGGAUGUUUUUGCUUUAGGGUGGAGGGAUAUGAUAUUUUUCUUUCUAUCUUAAUUUCCUUCCAUGUUUAUGUUUAAAAUUACUUAGUAAGUAAAAGUAAUGGUUAUGUUAGAUAAAAUUCAUUCACCACCCUUAAUAUGACUCAGUGACUCAAAGACAAAGUUCCAGAGCAAAGGGUCAAUCUUGUGAGAGAGGUCAUGCAGAAUUUACAAAACAAAAUUUAUACAGAACACUCAGAAGUAUAAAAAAGAUGAAGUUCAUUAUUGUUUAUAAUUACUCACUUACUCUGAAGCUACCUUUCCUCCUGCUGGCAGAGAAAAAUUCAAAUUAAUUAAAUUAAUUUUAAUUAAGGGCAACUGACUUUGUUCCUGUUUAAAACAUUUCACUUUGGGAUUAACUCAGCUUCAUUUGGGUAAAUUGCCCAGGAAAUUCAAAGACUGCUUCCCUCCUCUCUUAAGGGGUCACUUUGCCCAUAUCUUCUUCCCAAGGUGAUAUCUGGGGGCAGAGAAAAGCUGGCAUAUAGUCCUUGGAGUCCUGAGUCUUCAGCUACACGCUGGUUUUGUCCCUGAAUGUCCUUGGCUGGUGUUUACUUAGGUGUGGCCAAUUUCACUGUCCUUUAUGGGCAUCCGCUGGCAUCUGCUGCUGAUGUCCAAGGUCUCUGGGUCCCUCAAAUCACCAGCCCUCUAUGGUUUGUGGCCUCUUGCUUCUUAGCCCUGAAGUCUAUACCAAGACAACAUUGUUCUCAGCACCUUGGUGUCCUCUCCCUGGGGCAGACAGGAACUCUGGGCCAUAAGGAACCCUCUACCCUGGAAGAGGGAUGGUGGAAGUUUCACCACUUCCCUACCACAGUAGUCACAGGGGGGACACGGGGGACAAGUCAAGAUGUGUUGACUCUCCCUCAAGCUAUCUGGGCUUUCUGUGAGGGUUUCCAAUGCCUCAUCACACCCUGCCCCAAUUUUGCUUAAGUAAGGUGGGGUUGGGGAGGAAACAGUCAUUUCUCAGUGACCAAGCUGCGGUACACAUCCUGGUUGUGCCCUCUCAAAAUCUCCCUUCCUUCUCCAGGGCAAUGGUUUCUAUUUUCUCUUCCUGUCUGGUGGAAAUUUCCCACAAGUCAUUUCUCCUGCCUGCUCUCCACUUGUGGCUUUGAUCCUCUGUGACCUAGCCUGGCUUUCUAUAUGUUAAUGGAAACCUCCAAGAAUUUUAAAAACUUUUUUCUCUCUCCAUGAAGCCUGAUUUCUAGGACCAUUACCUUGCUGUAGAUUCAAAAUAUUGUCUU
rnacentral:lncRNA from 1 species